rnacentral:misc_RNA from 1 species
GCAAACUUGGUCAUUUAGAGGAAGUAAAAGUCGUAACAAGGUUUCCGUAGGUGAACCUGCGGAAGGAUCAUCACAGAGAUUAGGAGGGGAAGAUGAUCGAUCACAUCACAUCAUCUCCUUAACCACUCAUGUGUGCAUUGUAUAGGCGCGGUUGAUGGCAAUAUAUGUUAUGUUGUCACACGCCUCUUAUAUAUAAACUACUUGAUCUUUAAUGUAUGAUGGCAUAUAUUUAAUAAUCUCUUAAUAACCUAACACAACUUUUAACAAUGGAUCUCUUGGCUCUCGCAUCGAUGAAGAACGCAGC